UUGUAAUAAAAAUAAAACCCUCGCCUCUUUCUAAAACGGCGAUGUGCUCCACAUUCUUUGGCCUCUCUUGUCGUUAACCACCGCCGCCUCUCUCGCCGUUAAUCUCUGCCAUAUUUUCCUUCUUGCCGGUUGUUGUAGUGGUAAGCCAUCGUUAUUCUUCUUUUUCUUUGUGUUUAUCUAUUCUAACCUAUCUUUAACUCUCCUCAUCUCAUGAAUUAUCAGAAAUUUAUUUCUUUACCUUUCUGAUGAAAAGAGAUGAAAGCAAGAUCUCACCUUUGUCAUCCCUUAUUCCAUCUCUCCCAGAGAUCCAAUCCCAAAAUCCCAAGCUCACUCUCAGAUAUGCACACAGCAUCUGCUCUGGUGAAAAUCUGAUGGGUUUCAUUUCCAUGUUCUCCGUCUUAUCACCACCAGAUCUGACAGCUCACGGCCUCUGCCUCCGCCGUUCAACACAUCUAAACCGUCAGAUCCUCUAGAUCUGCAGCGCGUUUCCCAUUUUCUGACCAUCGGUUUUAUCUCUGGCGUCAUGGAUCUGAGGGAUCUCUCACCAGUGAUUUUCCAUGAGCAGUGCCAUGUCCUGUAUGUGCUUUAUUUGUGUUGUCUUUAUUGAAUAUUUUUAUUUCCAUAGUUAUAAAGAUAUUCUGUGUGCAUAUCAAAACUAUUUGAUGUUUAUUGAUUACUAAAUCUUGGUUUUUGAAGCUUCUUCGUUGAUAUAGAUAGUUAAGUAUUUAAGAGGAUUUUUUUACCAUAACUGUGUAUUUUAUUUUUCUCUUCAGGUAUCUUGAAGAGGGAGAAGAAAGACGUAUUGUUGAAGGUGUCCCAGAAGAUGACUCAUCGGAUUCUUAAAAUUCACCCUCGUAAAUUUCAUGAUUAAUUUGUUAAUUUGUUGUUUUAAAUACUUAAGUCAAUUGAACAUAUUAUUGUUUAUCUCCUAAUACUUAUGUAUUGUUUAUGGUCAUCUUCAA
rnacentral:lncRNA from 1 species